rnacentral:lncRNA from 1 species
AAUAUUUGUUGUAUUUAUUAUAUUUAUGAUCUGAAUUUUUAUUUAACGGUUAAUAAUGCUUUUUCUGGUUAAAAUUAAUUGCCUUCCAGAUGUGCAUGUGUUUUAUAGCGAAUUCGGUUGCUUGCACUAGUGCGCACUGAGUGCGCACUAAGGCUUGUUUACAUACUUUACAUCAGUAUUCUUAUAUUUAAGAAUACAUGUUCAAAAAUUAUUUAAUCAAAAAAAAUAAUUCUAUGGGUGUUGUACAGAUCAUUUUACUGAUUAAGAAGUAUUUUAAGAAGAAUUUAAGAUGAUUCUUAAAUAUGAAAAUUGACUAUAAACAAGCCUUAAUAUACACUCAGUGCGCACUAGUGCAAGCAACCGAAUUCGCUAUUAUAUAGGAUAUGUUACACGCAUUGUAGAAAAUUUGGAACGUAGCUAACUUUAAGCGAGAAGGCACCGUCGCUAUUAAUAUUGUUUUAGAUGUCGAAUAAUUUAAUAAACACAAAAAUUAAUAGCAUAAUUUUUUUCUAUGUAUUAAUAUUAAUUUUAAUGAGUUAAGUGGAAAGAGAUCGUUUAGGAAAUACAAUAUAGGAAAUUUGGAAAAUUGGCAUUUUUAAUAGUAUUAGUAUCAAAACCAUCAUAUUGUGCUUCUUAGAUGACUAUUAUAAUAUUGAAAUAAUAACAUUAUUUUGUUAAAAUUUAAGAUUAUCGAAUUCUUUAAACAAAAUUUUAUAUUGUUUUUAUACAUAUAUGAAACGAUAAUUGUUAAAUAUUAUAAUUAAAUGGAAUAUAUUAGUACACUUUUUUCUUUACAAGAACCAGAGGAGGUGCUUUAUAUAGAUUUCGAAGUGCCGAACUCGAAUCUGUUGCCCGUUUUGCUCCUACACGUCAGGUUUUUUGUAAAUCUCGAAAAUAUGUGAUUUGUAAAUUAACCAACCUAUUAAUAUCCAUGGCUAGACCAACGGGAGGAUUGGAAAAGUAACUAUUGGAAGCUUUACUUUAGAUCAAAAGAACAUUUUAGCGUAAAAAAUUUUUUUUUACAUUUGUAACAAAAUUUGUUUAAACAAAUUACGAAAAUCGACUUUUCGAGAAAAACUAAUAGCGCCAUUCGAUUGUAUGGGAAAAAUUACAUGGAAAUCAAUAGUUACUUUUCCAAUCUCUCUCCUCGCUGAUCUAGCCAUGAACAGUAACAGGUACAGAGAUAAAUUAUUUAUCAAGAGACACGGUAGUGGCUCGCGCCAAGUGAAAGCGCAGCGCGAGCCCGACCGUGCUCUUUACGCGAGUACGCGACUUGCGAGCACUCGAGAUUAUUGAAUCUCAGAAACGGUUAAAUUGAUCGAGUUUCUAAGUAAGCUCAAUCGAAAGCUUGGGGUCGAUUUAUAUUAGAAAACUAUUUUUAUUUUUUCUCUACAUGUCCUAUGAAUGGAGAUAUCGCGACGCAAAGUCCGAAAAGCCAAAAUUUCAUUUAAGAUACGUCGUCGUCAUCGUCAACCUUGUUGGUAUCUCUGCGGGUAGUGCGGGUGCCGAAAAUGAGGGACGAAAAUCCAUUUCGCUCAUCUACUACCGUGUGGCGUUCGCAUCGUCACUAUAGCACCGUAUAUGGCAAUGUAUAAGUCACGUGGUCACCAGUGGCUCGCUCGCGCCGUGAAUUAGUUGUGUGAAGAUGAUAGGUUAUAUAUGAGGUUUUAUUAUUAUUAAUCAUUGACACCAAUAUAAAUUAAUUAAUUAAUCAGAGAGUAACAUAGCUCAAUUUAUCGAUGAGGUCACAUAAGUUGCUUCGGCCACAGGUCAGCUCCUGUCAAGUGACAUGUGUAGUGGAGGUUAAAUUAUUUAUUUAAUGAUUUUAAUCAUUGACACCAAUAUAAAUUAAUUAAUUUCAGAGAGUAACAUAGCUCAGAUUUAUCGAUGAGGUAGAUGAGAUGUUGCGUGAUGUAAAAUGUGUAAUUAUUGUUGUAAUUUCAAUGAUAAUGUUGUAAGGAUAAUAAAGUAAAGAAUAAAAAUAGUAUAUUGAUUGAUUGACAAUUACAGCAACAUUUAUCCAAUACACAAUUCUUCUACAUCAUACAAUAUUUCAUCUCUCAUCGACACUAAUAUAAAAUUACAGAGCUAUUUUAUUUUUAAUUUUAACCGGUCACAUAAGUUGCUCUGGCCACAGGUCAGCUCCUGUUAAGUGACAUGUGUAGUGGAGGUUAAAUCAUUUAUUUAAUGAUUUUUAACAUCUCAUCUAUUUAAUCAUCGUUCAUUAAGAUUUUCCACUUGUGUCGAUGAAAUAAAUGAGAUUGACACAAAUGUAAAAUUAAAUAAUCAGAGAAUAACAUAGCUCAGAUUUUAUACUGGUGUUGAUGAGGUAGAUGAGAUGUUGCAUGAUGUAGAAAAUGUGUAUUAUUGCUGUAAUUGUCAAUCAUGUUAUAAGGAUAAAAACUAUCAUCAUCACCAAGGUAUUACUUUUGUCACCAAGAUACAAUUAUAUGUUACUAGUAAAGAAUAAAAUAGUAUUGUUAAAACCAUUUAUUUGAUUUGAAAUUUUGUUAGAUAAUUAAUAUUGAUUGACAAUUACAGCAACAUUUAACCAAUACACAAAUCUUCUACAUCAUACAUCUCAUUUCUCAUCGAUACUAAUGUAAAAUCAGAGAGCUAUUUUAUUUUAAUAAUCGGUUACGCAGGUUGCUCGGGCCACGGGUCAGCCCGUGUCAAGUGACAUAUGUAGUAUUGGUUAAAUCAUUUAUUUAAUGAUUUUUCAGGAAAUAUAUUAUUUAAAUUAAAUUAGUGACCAAACAUAAUUACCUUUUUAAAUAAAAAUGUAAAAAGGGCUCCAAGUGUGUGGGCUUCUUUAAGGGAAGACAGAAAUUCAAGAUAAUCGUUUUCAUCAAAUUCAACUUAGGCAUGGUUCCAAAACAUGCUCUAAAGAAAAAUUUUAUUUAAAAAUUUAUAGUAUUAUAUCCGUUAUAUAAACUUUAACUUCUUAGUAAAAUUUUUCUCAAAGAGAAAGUUUUAGAGUGUAACCUUAAGUGGUCUAUAAAACUAA